rnacentral:tRNA from 1 species
GACUUCAUGGCAUAAUGGAUUUGGCGCUAGUCUACGAAACGAGAGAUUCUGGGUUCAAUCCCCAGUGAAGUUG